UCCAUCGUUGACAGAGACAUAUGCAGAGGGUAUAAAUGCCAUAAAAAUGAGCUUUUUGCAGCCCAGUACAAGGAGUACAUUGCUGGUAAAUGUGAGGUCAGUCAUCCACUUUGAAAAGAAAAAUAGAAGAUCAGAUUAUUGUUUAAAUGGUGAAAGACUGUGGCAUGUUCUUGUGCAGAGGGACUUGAGUGCUUGUGCACAAAUUACAAAAAGUCAGUUUGCAGGUACAAUAGGUUAUUAAGCAGACAAAUGGAAUAUUUGUCUUCCUUGCUAGCGAGAUUGAAUUUAAGAGCAAGGAGGUUAUGCUGCAACUAUACAGGAUUCUGGUGAGGCCACACAUCGAGUACUGUGUACAGUGGAUACGUCCCAGUCUAUCACAGGUUAAGCCCUCUCCACCACUGAGCACAUCUAUAUGAAGUGUUGUUGCAGGAAAGCAGCAUCCAUCAUCAGGGACCCCACCAUCCAGGCCAUGCUCUCCUCUCACUGCUGCCAUCAGGAAGAAGGUCCCCUCUGAGCCUCCUCUGGAGCCGGGGUGCAGAGUGAGGGAGACCCAGCGAAGCAGUGAAGAGUUUAUGCAGAUACCGGCCUGGAGGCCCCUGGUGUGUAAUAGAGCUGGGAUGAAGAGUGUGGGAGACCCAGCAAGGUGAUGAAGAGUUUAUGUGGAUACUGGCUUGGAGACUCCUUGUGUUAUGGAGCUGGGAUGAAGAGCGAGGGAGACCUAGCGAGGUGAUGAAGAGUUUAUGCAGAUACCGGCCUGCAAAGUCCCUGGUGUGGAAUGGAGCCGGGGUGCAGAGUGAGGGAGAUCCUGCCAAGUGGAAUGUACGGGAAAUAGCUCUCCACUUCUCCCCUCUCCCGCAGAACUGGCAAAAGACUCCGUAUUUUGUGACAGGUAUCUGGAAUACACAGCUGGGGGUAGAGGAAGAAGCAUUUGGGACAAUUAAGGUGCCCGAUGGGAGCUGGGAGAAGAUGGCAUGGCCUGGACGAUGGGAAUCUUGAUGAUGGAUGUUGCCGAAGGAACACCUCCAGGUGAUGGUGAAGAAUUCAAAGAAUCCUCUCGGGGAAAAGGCGUUCACAGUAGAAGACAGAAAUACAAUAGAAUCAAUGGAAAACUACACGCAGUGGAGACAGAAACAACCAGUGUGCAAAAGGAGACAAAC